rnacentral:lncRNA from 1 species
UUCUGUUGCUUCUGUGACCGGCGAGUGUUCAUUGCAUGCCUGUGUGUCGUUGUGCUCUGAUCGGUUGUUUUUUGUGUAUUUUCGCAGGUUGCACGAUCUCUGAUGUAGCUGUGUCGUUCGACUCAUCAAGGUUUUCUUCUUUCCUUUCUACUACAUGUGUGCGUGUUUUACUUUCAGUAUCUUCUGUGUCAUGCUGUCUGCCUUGGUGAUCUUUUAAAUAUCUGUAUGUCGUGCUGAUCGUGUAAAUGUUCCCGAUAUGGUUGAUGCUUCUUUAUUUAUGUUGGACUGUUCUGUGAAUUGCCACCAUGACACUUGUUGAAAAUAGUGUUGUCGGGUGAUAAUCAUUCUUGGCAGUGAUUCUUGUUGUGGAUGGGAUAUUGAUGCAGAUAUACCACGAAGGGAAGAUCUGCCUCACUGUGCACUUCAGGGGCGCAUACACUAGCGAUGGUACAGGAUUGGCUUCCUGGUGGAAUCAGGUGCGC